GAUGAACGCUGGCGGCGUGCCUAACACAUGCAAGUCGAGCGAUUCUCUUCGGAGAAGAGCGGCGGACGGGUGAGUAACGCGUGGGUAACCUGCCCUGUACACACGGAUAACAUACCGAAAGGUAUGCUAAUACGAGAUGAUAUGCUUUUAUCGCAUGGUAGAAGUAUCAAAGCUUUUGCGGUACAGGAUGGACCCGCGUCUGAUUAGCUAGUUGGUAAGGUAACGGCUUACCAAGGCGACGAUCAGUAGCCGACCUGAGAGGGUGAUCGGCCACAUUGGAACUGAGACACGGUCCAAACUCCUACGGGAGGCAGCAGUGGGGAAUAUUGCACAAUGGGCGAAAGCCUGAUGCAGCAACGCCGCGUGAGCGAUGAAGGCCUUCGGGUCGUAAAGCUCUGUCCUCAAGGAAGAUAAUGACGGUACUUGAGGAGGAAGCCCCGGCUAACUGCGUGCCAGCCGCCGCCGUAA
rnacentral:rRNA from 1 species